AGCGCCAUUUCCAGAGCUAUAA
rnacentral:miRNA from 1 species